rnacentral:rRNA from 1 species
UGGGGAAUCUUGGACAAUGGGCGCAAGCCUGAUCCAGCGACGCCGCGUGGGUGACGAAGGCCUUCGGGUUGUAAAGCCCUUUUCCCGGGGACGAUGGUGACGGUACCCGGGGAAUAAGCACCGGCUAACUCCGUGCCAGCAGCCGCGGUAAGACGGAGGGUGCUAGCGUUGUUCGGAAUCACUGGGCGUAAAGGGCGCGUAGGCGGCCCCUCGCGUCGGACGUGAAAGCCCGGGGCUCAACCCCGGAACGGCGUCCGAUACGGGGGGCUCGAGGCCGGGAGAGGGGGGUGGAAUACCCAGUGUAGAGGUGAAAUUCGUAGAUAUUGGGUGGAACACCGGUGGCGAAAGCGGCCCCCGGCCCGGUCCUGACGCUGAGGCGCGAAAGCGUGGGGAGCAAACAGGUUAGAUACCC